GCACUAGCUUCAGCAGCACCUAUGCAAAAAUUGGAAUGAUACAGAGAAAAUUAGCAUGGCCCCUGCACAAGGA
rnacentral:snRNA from 1 species